AGAGGGUUAGUCCAAAUAUAAGACCUCUGAUUUCGGCUCAGAAAACCGUAGUUCAAAUCUGCGACCCUCUU
rnacentral:tRNA from 2 species